ACUGCCGUGGAUGUCGUCGUCGCUUUUUUGCGUUUAACCUUCGAAUUUGAAGAGCUGAGAAUGGAAGAGGGAUGCAGGGAAAAGAGGAGAGAAGGAGAGACAGUGCCAUCCGAUUUAAACGUCGUCGAUCUAAAAGUAUAUCUACCAUACUUUGACCAUCAACAGCAUGGUGUGCUGAUCUAUGGUUCCUUGGUUCACCAUAAAAGGAACUAUUCGGAUUAGACAAGCACAGUCGAUCGAUCAAUCGUACAACUAGAAGAAACAAACUUUGGCCGAAUGUAUUUCGGCAUUACAAAGUACUAGAAAAUGUAUGUCUUGUAUAUUACAAAAAAAUGGUAUAUAGUCGACUAUUCGUUUUGCAAAAUAAUAAUAAUUUCAUAUUUUUUUUACCAAAUAUGACGUAUUACCACGUAUGAUAUUUACACAGUUUGCAAAGCUUUUUAUGCUAUUCAUCAACUCGGUAUGUAUAAAGUAUUGUAAUAAUUCGAA
rnacentral:misc_RNA from 1 species